ACCUUUUUCCUUGGUGCUUGAAUGUUGGGUGAGGAUCAACGUCAGCUACUUUUUUCUUCUAAAAUGAGAAAAUUUUGGCUCAUGGGGACAUGACAACCUAUAACAUUUGUAUCUUCUCUGUAAGAGAAGUUGGCUUAUAUUG